rnacentral:rRNA from 1 species
CCCUUCAGAGGGGGACAACAGUUGGAAACGACUGCUAAUACCGCAUACGAUCUAAUCUCGGCAUCGAGGAUAGAUGAAAGGUGGCCUCUACAUGUAAGCUAUCACUGAAGGAGGGGAUUGCGUCUGAUUAGCUAGUUGGAGGGGUAACGGCCCACCAAGGCGAUGAUCAGUAGCCGGUCUGAGAGGAUGAACGGCCACAUUGGGACUGAGACACGGCCCAGACUCCUACGGGAGGCAGCAUG